rnacentral:rRNA from 1 species
CACCGGCGGCUCGAGUGGUGGCCCCUUUUAUUGGGUCUAAAGCGUCCGUAGCCGGCUUGGCAAGUCCCCUGGGAAAUCUGGCGGCUUAACCGUCAGGCGUCCAGAGGAUACUGCCAGGCUUGGGACCGGGAGAGGUGAGAGGUACCUCAGGGGUAGGGGUGAAAUCUUGUGAUCCCUGAGGGACCACCAGUGGCGAAGGCGUCUCACUAGAACGGGUCCGACGGUCAGGGACGAAAGCGUGGGGAGCAAACAGG